rnacentral:misc_RNA from 1 species
UUGAUUCCAGGUAAUUCAGACACAGACGGGUCGGCUGCAUAAACGCGGCGCCGCUGGGGCGCCGAAGCACGGCUAGCUUCCACGGUUUUGGGGUUUGAAGGGCCCGGACGGGCCUCUCGCUAAUGAUCCCUCCGCAGGUUCACCUACGGAAA